rnacentral:lncRNA from 1 species
GGUUGGGUUUUAACAUGGUCUUGAUCCUCUUGCCCAUCGAUCCUACGAUGUUCUUACUUGAGAGAGUGGUCAUAAUCCCAUAUUGAUAAUGUUCUUACUUGAGAGAGUGGUAAUAAUCCCAUAUUGAUUAGAGAAGGGACCUUAUUGGUGCUUACGUACUCAAGGGCAUAAGAACCUUCUUGGAUGCUUGGAGGUGUCCUUGCAAGUACUUCUAGUCUGCAUCAUUAAGCACUUUAGG